AGAGCCUAAUCUUCCUGAUCAAUUGCGAGACAUCCAUUAUCGUUCCCAUGCAAUAAAUCAAAUCUCUGGGUUUUUAUUGGGUUACUGUAGAUUCUACCCUUCGAACCCUACACCUUUCAGUGGCAAAACUAGCCAAUAUCAAGACGGAGAUAGGCGAACACUAGUAACCUCUCAACUCUCUCUCGAUUACAAGCUUCAUCUCAAUGGCAGUCAUCAUACAUAGAUAUGGUAACUCUGUACUCAGAAACGAAGGAUGAACUCCAAUGGUGGCUUGGUCACAUGGAAGCUUUGAAUGAAUGCGCCAUAUUCUGUACAACUCCAGAUUUGAUAAUCAAAUCUGACGCAUAUUUCCACCAGAUGAUUAGUUCCUUUGCAGUCCGCAGUUUCUCCCCAACUCAAGGCCAAUGCACUAUCCUUCUGAAGAUGGACCACGUGUCAACUGUCCGCUACAUCAAUCACCUGGAGACACAAAGUACAAAAUUCUGACCUACCUGGCUCGCGAUUUCUGUCAAUUUUGCCUGAUACACUGGAUUUCAG